ensembl:lncRNA
CUAGGCGAUACCCAACGGAUGACCAACUGCGCACACAGAGCGGCUCGGGGUUAGUCAGGGGAUUCUGGCUAGAGAUGUCUACUGCACCACCCGCCAUCUAUCCGCUGGGCAAAUGCCCAGCAGGGCUGCCGUCCCGGGUACCCCGUCACACGCCCGAAUCAAGUCCACACUCUAACCCUCCUGGAAGGUGAGGCGACCCACGUGAUCCACAUGCCUUCGAAUUCGUUCCUCCACAGACCUGAGAGGCACCUGAACGUCAAGAGGUUACGCUGUAGGUGGUCACUCUCAGGAAAACCUCAGAGCAAACCUGUAUUUAUACUUAUUCGUGAAAAAUAAAUUGUAACAAACAGUAUGCUUUGCUUUAUCCUGUU